AACGUAGGGGGCCAGCGUUGUUCGGAAUUACUGGGCGUAAAGAGUGUGUAGGCGGUGCUCCCAGUCUGUUGUGAAAUCUCCCGGCUUAACUGGGAGGGUGCAGCGGAAACUAGAGUGCUAGAGGGUGGGAGAGGUAAGCGGAAUUCCUGGUGUAGCGGUGAAAUGCGUAGAUAUCAGGAGGAACACCUGUGGUGUAGACAGCUUACUGGACCACUUCUGACGCUGAGACACGAAAGCGUGGGUAGCAAACAGG
rnacentral:rRNA from 1 species